rnacentral:rRNA from 1 species
GACGAACGCUGGCGGCGUGCUUAACACAUGCAAGUCGAACGCUGAAGCACCAGCUUGCUGGUGUGGAUGAGUGGCGAACGGGUGAGUAAUACGUGAGUAACCUGCCCUUGACUCUGGGAUAAGCCCGGGAAACUGGGUCUAAUACUGAUGCUACAUGUCACCGCAUGGUGGUGUGUGGAAAGGGUUUACUGGUCUUGGAUGGGCUCACGGCCUAUCAGCUUGUUGGUGAGGUAAUGGCUCACCAAGGCGACGACGGGUAGCCGGCCUGAGAGGGUGACCGGCCACACUGGGACUGAGACACGGCCCAGACUCCUACGGGAGGCAGCAGUGGGGAAUAUUGCACAAUGGGCGAAAGCCUGAUGCAGCGACGCCGCGUGAGGGAUGACGGCCUUCGGGUUGUAAACCUCUUUCAGCAGGGAAGAAGCCACAAGUGACGGUACCUGCAGAAGAAGCGCCGGCUAACUACGUGCCAGCCGCCGCAGUAA